rnacentral:tRNA from 59 species
AAAUCCGUCGAUUUCAAAAAUCGUGAGGGUUCAAGUCCCUCUAUCCCC